rnacentral:rRNA from 1 species
GACGAACGCUGGCGGCGUGCUUAACACAUGCAAGUCGAACGGAAAGGCCCUGCUUUUUUGGGGUGCUCGAGUGGCGAACGGGUGAGUAACACGUGAGUAACCUGCCCUUGCCUGUGGGAUAACUUCAUGAAACUGGGUCUAAUACCGGAUAGGAUCUCCUGCUGCAUGGUGGGGGUUGGAAAGUUUCGGCGGUUGGGGAUGGACUCGCGGCUUAUCGGCUUGUUGGUUGGGUAGUGGCUUAGCAAGGCCUUGACGGGUAGCCGGGCUGAGCGGGUAACCGGCCACGCUGGGACUGAGCUGCGGCACAGACUACUAUGGGAGGCAGGGGUGCAGUGGAUUGUAUAAUGGGCGGAAGGAUGAUGCAGCAAAGCAGCGUGCCGGAUGACGGGCAGCGGGUUGUAUUGCAAUUUUGCUUGUGCCGAGGCGUGAGUGACGGUAAUGGGUGAAGAAGCACCGGCUAACUACGUG